rnacentral:lncRNA from 1 species
GUGACGUAUAUUCUACGCGCCGUGGAAAUAUAAAAUUAAAGGUUUCCGUCCGCUUGUUCUUUUCGUCCAGAUGGCUGUACUUGCAAUAAUGUUACGGAAAUGUUUAAUUAUAUUAUCGAUUCAAGUAGCUCAGUCUCCCUGAAACUGCGACUUGGUGUAUUAAAUUAGGUAGUACGUUAUUUGUUUCGUGAAGAAAUGGCGCGUUCGGAGAAGAGUAAUUUGGAUGUGUUCGUUCGUCACAACGGUCAACAACUCGCCUUCACUUUUCAAAGGGCUUGAAAGCAGUCCUGUUCUGCAUGAGAUGUUUCUACAGGAGACCAUGUUGGUGGAUGGGACUUGA